rnacentral:rRNA from 1 species
CUAGUGGCGGACGGGUGAGUAACACGUUGGAACCUGCCCCAAAGUGAGGAAUAAGCCACCGAAAGGUGGUCUAAUACUUCAUAAUAUCCAUCUCGUAUGGAUUAAAGCUUUAUGCGCUUUGGGAGGGGCCUGCGUAACAUUAGCUUGUUGGUGAGGUAAAAGCUCACCAAGGCUUCGAUGUUUAACUGGUUUGAGAGGAUGACCAGUCACACUGGGACUGAGAUACGGCCCAGACUCCUACGGGAGGCAGCAGUAAGGAAUCUUCCACAAUGGGGCAACCCUGAUGGAGCAAUACCGCGUGCAGGAUGAAGCGUUUCGGCGUGUAAACUGCUUUUAUCACCGAAGAUUAUGACUGUAGGUGAAGAAUAAGGACCGGCUAACUACGUG